ensembl:lncRNA
UAAUAUAAAAAAAAACAUUUUUAAUAGUUUCAACAUUCGGAUGAGGAUUAAUUUAAUUUUUUUCUCAUUUUAUCUUACACUGUGUUCCACUUGGUGACUGAGAGAAAGCAAGUCCAAGAAAAGGCAUUUCAUCUGUACUCCAAACUUUAAAGAGUCCACAGCAUCACUACAGUUUGACACAAAGAACUUUUUAAAAAAAGAUUCCUUGAUCGAUCACGUUUUCCCUUUUUGUUUUGGCCCCCGUUACUUGGAACUUAAAGUUAUGCAAAGAAAAGGAUGAAUGGAGAUGGCUGCAUGCACCACAGUGUAAUCUACAGACUGCGCGGGUCCACGUGACCCUACACGUCACAGUUUUUUUCUCAUUUGUAGUUGAUUUUAGCAGAUGUUCAGUCCUCUGAAAGUGAAUUAUUCUGUCUUAUCCUCCAUGUUGUUUCGUUGUUGGUCUGUUUGGAGUCUGAUGUGCUUUUCUUGAUUUGCUAUAGAUAAAACCGGUGGAACAUAUGAGGAUACGUGGUGAAAGCAAACAGGAAAUCAUGAAUGAUUUAAAUAAACUCUUAGCAGAACUGACGGGGGAGCUUGACUCAAAAAGGUCAAAGGGCAGCACUGAAUUUUCUUCUUUUCUUGCAAAGGUCGAUCUAUUCACUUAUAAAAAAUAAAUACAAGCACAUUUAAAUAGGACCAAAGAUGAGACGCAUUUCAUAGGCAUGGUUAAAAAGCAUGCUUCCGACUUCCACACAGCACAAUGUCGAUAUUUGAUACCCCUGCACACUCUUACUCUUGAAACUAUGUCACAACACACACAAUCCGCCUUUAUCACAACCUAUGUGGUGGACAUUGUCUAUCAGUACAUUCCACCGAUGUAAAAAAAGGCCUUUGAAGUUUAGUGCUCAAAGGGCAUGCUUGCAAAAGCUGCAAUACUGAAAACUGUCUCUGGAAUCUCUUGCCGGCUGUCUUUGCUCGACUGGGUUAUUGUUAAUAAAGUCGUGUUUGACGUGUUCUGUAUGUACAGGCUUUGAUCUGAGACCCUUUAGUACAAAAACGAAGAGCAGCACAUUGUAACACAGAAACAAAGACAGGACAGACCAUUCACCUCAGCACAGCCUAACUGCAACAGCAAAUUUGAAAAAGAAACUUUUUUCUAAAUAUUAAAUUUAUAUUGUAAAACCAUGCUGCAUUGAUUCAAAAUCAGCAUUUCUUUUAUGGCAAAAAAUAAGAAGUUGGUAGAUUCAAAGAUCAUUUGAGUACCAGGAAAUAAUCUGAAACUGUUUUUAUCAGUAAUUAAAUGGAUUUUCCAAACAUAACAGAGAAAUCUGCUCAGAUUUGACAACUUUUCUUGGUGCUAAGUGAUAGAAAGCUUUCUUUUUCUACAGUUUUUGGAGGAAGCUUAAUUUAUAGUCCUGUGCUGAAUCUGCCUAUGCUAAAAAAAAAAAAUCAAGGCCCUGAAAAUUUAAAAUCCGGGCCACACAUUUAAACAGGUUCUUAAUGUUCGGCCUGGCCAGUGUUCUUUGUGGUCUGCACAGCAACAAGCGUCCCAUCAAAAUGACAUAGACAGGCAGACAUCCACAGCACCUGCAAGCUAACAAGCUAGCCAACGAGGAAAGCAAGAAAGGGCUCGGUCUCGUAGUAAUAGAGCUGCUUCAUUCACUGUUAUGUGCAUCCAGAAAGGCUCGGCUAUGGUACAGGGAAACAACACGAUCAAAGAUCAUGAUCAAUCUACGUCUCAUGACGGCUUUAUGUCCACAAAGUGAGGAGGCUAUAUGAGUGAUGCAUUAUUAAUUAAAACUACAAAUUAAAAAUGUCUGGAUCCUCGUGUGAUUUCUCUUUCCUAUCAUGGUCCUUUAGUGACUCCCACGCCAUAAUGAGUGGCGUGGUUUUACAAUCAUACUUGUGCGCUGUUGUGUCUGCAGUGCUCUGCUGUGUUGGACUUGGAGCUGAUAAAUGCGGAACAACGGGAAAGAGAGAAAAACACCACACGAUUACGGUGGUAAAUCAGACCCAGCGUUGCUUAAUCUUACUGCUCUCAUCAGCGUUGGUUCAGACUAGAUCUCAGGACCAGUCACUAUGAGAUCACAGUGGAGCAUUUAGUAUCUUGACAGCCAGACAUUCCUCUGAGGUGGUGGAGGAAAGCGAAAACACAGGUAAAUAGAGAGCAAAUAGAUAAAAAGGAGCCAGAAACACCUGCCCAGCUGAAUGGCAAUGUGGCUCCGCAGCUACUGGAUGUGUAAAAACCAACUGUUUAAAAUGUCCUUGUUGGAAUUACAGUCGUAAUAUAAAAAAAAUAAACAUGAAUGGAGUCAUUUCCCCAAUAUUCAAUUCUAUUAACUGUCAAAAUGAGUUGUUUUUCAGUGUUACAUUAACACUGGGUAAUGAAUUAGCACUGUGAGCACACUAAAUGCAACUAGAGCCUAUUACACGUUGGUUCACAGAGGCAUUAUCCUUGUAAUAAUCAAUAUACAUUUUUGAGCAUAUUACCGCCACUGUAGGCUGCGUUGCCACAGCAGCAAGGUGGAUGCCAGACUAUGCCAGAGGAUAUAGGGUCUCUACAGGUUAAUGCAGCACUAUAAAUUAAGCUUUAGUCAGAUAAAAGAAGCAUCUUGAUGGUUUGGAUGACCUCUGGUAUUUCUUUUUUGUACCAAUUUAAAAUUUCCUGCUUGUAAAAAAAUCUGUUCUAUGCAAACUGUUGUUUAACGUCUGUUUUCUCUUAAACAUAUAACCUCUGUUGCAUUGCUGUCUGGUUCUGCUGUCUAAAAGACAGUAAUGCAGCAGUUUUCAUGCAGAGUCUGUUUAAACCUUUCAAACUGUGAUCGAUGUGUCACUGCAAUUGCAGCACCCCACAGACACUUAUUUUUAUUUCUAAAGAACACACAAUCACAUUUCCACGAAUCUCAAAUAUACCAGGAAAUGUGCUCAAAGCUGCACGAGACGUCUUGAAUUUUCACGUAGCUGCAGUGAUGUGUUGUUGUUUUUUUGUUGUCUAAAAUCAAAUCUAAAAGUUCAAGAGGUUCAUUCUGAGGUCAGAAACUGCAAAACAAGCACUAGAUUUGACCUUUCAGUCUGCUGUACCAUGUUAGGCUUGUGCUAGUUCCAGCAACAUUAUAAUAUUAUACAUAUAGUAUGGAUGUUCAUCAUCAUUUAUCCUUUUCAAUACAGUAUUUGUAUAUAUCUAUAUAUUUAUAUAUAUAUAUGAAUUUCUCCCUUCAGUAUAUACAGAACAAACUGUAUAGAGGCUUCGGUAUUUACAAGAGUCCUGUGAGUGAUAUCGCGCUUUAAAGAAAGACACAGGUAGAGCAGCACAGUGACUUUGAGGCCAUGUGUAGUGGAUGUUUUCAGGACAAAAGGAAAGUCGUAUAAAUCUGGAUAGGUCACAACAAAAACCCACCGCAAGGCAAAUAGCAAACUACUGCUGUCGUACACAAACCUUGUUACUCCAGUUUAACUGAUUUUCAAGUUUCCUCUUAAACUGAACCUGCGAUUCCUGAAAAGGUUUUGAUGCGGCAGCAGAGCAAUUCUGGUCCCACGUUUGAAUACUUGAAAAAAAAUUCCUCGGAUUCAUGUGCAGCGGAAACGACCACAGCUCCUCAUACCUAGUAAAAAGUAUUCAGAAAUAUAUCUGUAUAAAUACUCUCAUCAAAAUAAACACAUAUACACACAUAUCUUUGCACUUGCCUCUGGUUCACUAAAAUAGACCAAAAAUAUCAGCAUCAUCAGGCAGGGUUCCUAUAAACUGUAAUGUGAAUGUGGCUGAAAAUGACAGAAAAACUGUGCUUAUUUAUAAGAGACCAAGCACCUUUUUUCUGAAAGUGUCUCUAGACUGUUUUCUGGCUUUGCUACGAUAUGAUAGGAUGUUAAAUGUGUCAGGGCUGUUGCUCUUUCCCAAGAAUGGUUCAAUAUGUCAAUACAAGUUUGCACUGUAUGAAUCCUGGAGUGUGAUACAGCAGGUUCAUAAUCUCUAGAAUCUUUGUUUUUUAGCAUCUUUCCACCUGUUGUUUGCGUUCUGUGUCAGUCUUACUGGUUUCAUCAGUGUUGUUUCAAACAACAUCUGCUAAGCUAACAGGAAACACAAAGUUAGCAGCUGGCCGGUGCAUUUAAUGGAGUGUUGGGCACCUAAAGAGCCAGAUAUGUCUCUCUCAUCAAGUGGUGGAGACCAAAAACUGAGCUAAAAAGAGAAAAAGUAUAAAGAAAAGCAGAUGAAUUGAAUGAUAUUGCUUGCUAAGGGUGUACGGCAAUCACACAUGCCUAAAUAUGACUGCCUAGCAACCACUGAUCGCUAAGGAAAAAGUUAUAUUGGCCGAAUCGUUGGAGGUGAGUGACGGGUGAAAUUGGUCACAAAGAGGGUGUUGCACCAAGAACCUCUGAUCUAAAUUAUUAUUGCAUGGCACAAGCAUGCAAUUGGGUUUCAGAGUGCAGUGAAGCACAUGCUACUUCCUAUGUGGAAAGGAAACUAAGACUGUUCACCAUCAAAGUAAA